UGAAAAUAGCUCGAGAUGCCGUUUAUUCGUGUACUACAAUAUCCAACGUCGCCCCUAAUGAAAGCGAGGCAGUGUAAACACAACUCCAGGAACAUGAAAAGAUCGGGUGACAGUGAGGGGGAGAAGAGAAGAAAGAGGCGGAGGCUACUGCAGGAGUUGGGAGACCAGAAGAUCCCCUUUCUGGGACCCUCAGAUCGGGGCUUUCAGCAACUGUGGGACUCUAGUUACUCUGGCCUGGUGUUGAGGAGAUCAUGCUCACUGCCUACUGAGCUCCAUGGACGGGUACAAGCAGCUCUGCUCACCCUCAGGAGAAAAGGCUGCCUCCUGAAGGAUCUGGUUCGCGUCCGUGACCGAGAUGUGUUCACCGCCGUGUCACGAGCCCUGCUGGGUGAGCCGGGCCACACCUAUCGCUAUCUGGACACACGGCUCUUUGCCAUCCCCUGGCACAGUGAGGAUGUUGAAGUCAAAGGACAAAACUGUUGUGACCCUGAUUUGAGAGCAGCUUGCAAAGCAUUAUGGGAGCUUAACACCUUCUUCUGCUCUGACGUGUCUCAGCUGAAGGAAGGAGACAGGCUAACACAAUGUGUGAAGGGAGAGGCAGAGGCCAAACAAGGUGAAGAGGGAGAUACUGAGUCUAAACACAGUGAAGACUCCAAGAAUAGUGAAGGAGGGGACUCAGAGUCCCGACAAAGUGAGGAGGGAGACACAGAGUCUAAGCACAGCGAGGAGUGGGACAUUGAGUCGAAGCACAGCGAAGAAGGCUGCUCUGGGUCCAAGCAAGAAGGGGAGUGGGAGACUGAGUUAAGACACAGCAGCGAGGAGGGAGAGUCCUCCCAGGUCAAACCAAGUGAAACCAGUGUUGCAGCAGGUUCAGAACACAGUGAAGGAAAAUGUCCCGACUGGGCAACCAAAGCCCUCAGUGGCUCAGAGACUGAACCUAUGGGACUAGGAGCCCAGGAGAAGCCUGUGACCCAACUAAAGCACAGCCUGUCAGAUCACCACAUUCAGGACAAAGAGGAAUACGCAGGUGGGCAGGGCUGUUCUCAGCCCAGUCCUCCACCGUCAUGCACUGGUCCAGUCAAGUUCAAUGUCACUUUACUCAACUACAUGGACCCAGCAGCGAUGAGCCAGCUCAAAGAGGAGCCGUACUAUGGCAUGGGGAAAAUGGCAGUAGGCUGGCAUCACGAUGAGAAUCUGAUCACUCAUUCGCCAGUGGCUGUUUACAGCUAUACCUGUCAUGAUGACAAAGGUGAGAGCAGUGAGGGAGGCAGUGCUGAGAAGGCAUGCUGGAGAAUUGGGCUCAAAGUAGCCUGGGACAUCCACACACCUGGCCUGACACUGCCGCUGGAGUCUGGAGACUGCUAUUACAUGAGAGAUGACCUGAAUAGCACCCACCAACACUGUGUCCUAGCUGGAGACGCUGCACGCUUCAGCUCCACACACAGAGUGGCCGAGUGUUCCAGUGGUACUCUGACCUACAUCCAGUCACGGUGCCAAGAGGCUCUGUCCAACCUGCACACUGACCCCGAGACAGGCUCCUACAGCCUGCUGGCCCUGCUGCCAACAACGCUACAGAACUGCGAGGAGAUUCACAAUGAGGUGGAGUUCGAGUGGCUGCGGCAGUACUGGUUUCAGGGCCAGCGCUACGCCCGCUUCUGCAGCUGGUGGACCAGACCGAUGGAGCAGCUGGAGAAGGACUGGAGGCUCAUGGAGACCAUGACAAUGCUCUUCCUGGCUACAGUGGAGGAGGAGGGCCAAGCAGGGGAGGGAAGGAGGGAGAUGGCAGAAACCCUGCUGUCUGCCUUGACAGACAGACACCAGCAAAGACAGACAUGGAGAGACAGGUGCCACUCGAGUCUGGCCCAGACAUUACCCCCUGAGGAGGCCCCAGUGGACCGGCCCUUCUGGGGUGUGGAUGACCCCAGCAUGCCUCUGCCCUUUGAUCUGGCUGACAUCAUCAACAGAGUGGAGUCACUGCUCUGGAGGUGGGCCCAAGAUGCUGAAGUGUGGAAAUGUGCUUAAGUACACAUUGCGUACAUAUAUCUCUAUAUAUGUAUAUAGCCCAUGCAGCAUGCAUCCAUUCACAGGAUGUGAGGGAUGGAGAAGAUAUGAGAUAGAAAUAUAUGAAAAAAAACCCACCAGCUUUUCUGAAUGGUCCCCACAUUAGCUGAGGGGACAGACCACUGGUGAUACCUCUGUCUUGAUCCCACCGAGAUUGAUUUCCUUUUGAUUGGGGCAUCUACAUCUCCGCCCUACUCCACCCUCCACUACCCCAGCUGACCCCGGCAUCUCAGCCACCCCAACUUGGAUUUGGCUGGAAGGAAACCAGACCACCACAGUAGAUCCAGAAUAGUGCUUCAGUAACAUGCUAACAACGCAAAGCUUAGCAACAAGCUACUAGUGUCACAACAGUCUAACAAAACAUAUGUGGAACCUGCAUUUCAGUGUUAGCAUACAUUGUGUAACUAUUUAUUAUUUCAGUGUACUCUGUUACUUAAUCUCAUGUAACCCAGACAUGCUUUUAUCAAUGGAUUGACUCUUUCUCAGUAGUCACAGUACAGUACAUACAUAUAUGCUUUCUACUUGUCACACAGUGUUAUAAUACAGUAUAGAAUGGUAAGAAAACUCACUGCUCACAUGGUAUUGCAUUCUUCACUUGUGUAUAGUGUAACCCCUUUAUUGUGUUCAGAAGUGGAAAAAAGCCUGAAGAGACCAAAGAAAGAUUAUGAUAAGAAAGUUAUGAAUGUCACCCAAUGGAGAACAUGAAGAAUGUGUUGUCAAGUGUUUAUGGUGCAGUGGUGCGCUUGUGCCAUAUUGACGCGUGACAGUGUGUAUGUGUGCGUGUUUGUGUGCAUUUAGCCAUUUGAAUAUACAUGUGAUCAGUUGCUGGCCUGUGCGUUUGUGCACGUUCGCCCUCCCACAUGUCAACACGAAGGCGCGGGUGUAUGAAUGUGAUAGUGUGUGUGAGCCUGUAGGCUGCCUGCCAGUUGUUUGUUCUCGAAGAUGUGCAUAUGGAGAAACAGAAACUAGCAACGGGGCCCCUCUGCCUCUGCUCUGAUGAAAGGCAGCGCUGAUAGAAUGACCCGGAACACAACCGCCGUUUCUCAUAAUUACAGCUGUUCAAUCGCUUUUAAUUACUCUUAAAGUGUGUAGAGCACCACAUUCCCCUGUAAUGCUGCAGGCCAUCCGAGAGAGCGAGAGAAAGAUCCGGCGCUUCUGACAAAAUCCACUUUCAAAAAAGCUAAAAAGGGUGGAAAAGGGGGCCGACGUCAAAGCAGUGUAGCAGCCCUCCUCGUUUGAUUUCUUUCUAUCUAGUUCAUGAUGAAGUAGAGAUGCUGUUUACUAUUAAAAAUGCAGAAUGCACUCCUUUUUUUACUUCUGAAGUUUUUUCCAAGAUGUUAAUGGUUGCCAAACGCUGUUCUUCUUGCUUCUUCUUUUGCUGCGCCUUUGUUGUUUGUUGUUGUCAGAGAGAUUUGUUUGUAGAUCGGCAGUAGCGUUGACUUGUUUGAAUCACUCUGUGCUCCCUGCGCCACAGCUUGUCUGUCUGAAGCAAUAGGAAUGGCAGUAAAUAAAAAAAAACAGUGUUUUAUCCAA